rnacentral:rRNA from 1 species
GACGAACGCUGGCGGCGUGCUUAACACAUGCAAGUCGAACGAUGAAGCCGGAGCUUGCUCUGGUGAAUUAGUGGCGAACGGGUGAGUAACACGUGAGUAACCUGCCCUUGACUCUGGGAUAACUGCGGGAAACUGUAGCUAAUACCGGCUACGACCCUCGGAGGCAUCUCCUGGGGGUGGAAAGAAUUUCGGUCAAGGAUGGACUCGCGUCCUAUCAGCUAUUUGGUGAGGUAAAGGCUCACAAAGGCGACGACGGGUAGCCGGCCUUAGAGGGUGACCAGCCACACUGGGACUGAUACACGGCCCAGAGUCCUACGGGAGGCAGCAGUGGGGAAUAUUGCACAAUGGGCGCAAGCCUGAUGCAGAAACGCCGCGUGAGGGAUGACGGCCUUCGGGUUGUAAACCUCUUGUAGCAGGGAAGAAGCGAAAGUGACGGUACCUGCAGAAAAAGCACCGGCUAACUACGUGCCAGCCGCCGCCGUAA